rnacentral:lncRNA from 1 species
UCCCGUGCAUGGCGCACCUUCCGCCUGAAAUCCAGCUCGGUUCGGUGGGAGUGGGGGGGCAUGGCCGGGGUAUAAACCGGUCUCGGGUACCCUCGCCUCUAGUUAACCCAUGCCGAUUGCCCCGGGAACCACUGCCUACGGAAAGCUUACGCACGACGAGAGAAGAUUGCCGCCGUGAACCGCCAUCGACGAUCCCCAAUUCCGUUGCCGCGUUGACCUUGGUGCUGAUCUGAGACGCCUCUGCGUGUCUCGACAGUGGGGGCCGAAGAACUGGAGUGGAGGAAGGGCUUGCAGCGACCCCGGAAUUCCACGCCGGAUCUCGACGUCCGCCGCUGCUCGUGUGCAACCAUGCCUACGCUUCGUAUCGCGGUGAGAUUUCCUUCCCUUGAUUCACAUUCUCUUCCUCUGCGCGUAGCAUGUCUCGGAUUGGAAAAUAGUGCGCGUUCGGGCAUUGAUUGUGCGGCUCCGGCGAUGGCGCCGCCGUGUGAGUUCCGCGCCGCCGGGCGCGAGUGACCGGAGAAAGGAACCAGGGGGAUGCGCCUGUGCUCAGAUCCCGGCCAUCCGAUUGUGAUGGACGGUCCCGAUGAGUUAUGGGAAUUACAAUCUUAUGGAUUAGAUCUUUACCGUUGAAAUGUGAUCCGAGGGGUGAUCGUCGAUCGCGACCUCGACCGUUGAUUGCCGAUCCUGCGCGCGUCAUUAGGGCUAGUGCAGUGGCGCGCAUCGUAGAUCUGGGCCGUCGGCUUUUAAUCAGACGACUACAGGCCCACGGUACCCCUUCGUCGGUGGUUUUCCAUAUGAGCCCUCGGGUUUUGAUGAAAUCAACCCACGAUCCGCGCGGGGAUUAGGUCUGAGUCUUCAGAUAAAUUGCGCUAAGGCCCCUGUCUUUCUCAGAUUUAUUGCGUCCAGUCCAGAGCCUAUUUAAAUUGAAUAAGUGAAUUAGAGAAUGGAUUUUUAUUAUGAAAAUAACUACUAGAACUUAAUAAAUUCAUAGAAAAUUCAUACUUGCUCCAAAUCACUCCAUUCCACUUUCUAAAUUUUUAUAAUUUAAUUCUCUAUCACUUAGAGCCUCUGUUUUGUCAUGAAAACAGUAAGAAAUUUAAUUCCUCACUUAAUCUAUUUUAAACACAUAAAACCCUUGCAAAUCCAUAACUUAAAAUCUAUAGCUCCAAAAAUUAUGAUUCCUGUUCCUAGGAUUUUAUUUUAAUGUGUAGAUUAUUACUGUGCAUUUUAUUUAUAUGUUUGGUGUAAUGUUAAUUUCUCUAUAUGCAUUGUGCUUGUUUGUAUUGUGGCGAGUAGAAGAGCCCGUUGCUGAGGAUCCUGGUGAGCAGCAGGUUGAAGUAGCUGAGCAGAAGCUCAUUGAAGGCAAGUUGUGCCCUUGACCACUUUUUACCCAAUAAUGUUCUCUAAUUAUCAUUCACUCAUGCAUAGGUUAAUUUUGAUGGGACCCAAUAGGUCACCCUAGAUUGUUUAUCUCAUUACCUUGUUUACCCCUGAUUCACUUGGGUAGUUUGCUAUUGCUUUACCUGGUUUUGGGAUAAUCAUUUAUUACCUAUAUGUUCCAAUUCUUUUGUUAUUCUAUUUAUGUUCAUGUCAAGUUCAUUAAUGUUAAUUGGAACAUAGAGCUUAACUUGAGAACCACGUGCCACCACAAGGGUUUAAUGGGACGCCCUUGGCUGACUAAUUAGGAAAGCUAGUGGAAGAUUACCUUACCCGAAAGGGGCAAGGGAAGUAGGGGAGUGGUCAGUGUAGGGAGGUCCUUGGUUGAUUUUGCUACGAUGGCGGUCAGACAAGAACCCUGCAUUGGAGCUUCCUAUAAACUGUAGCGGGUUUUCGGAAGCUAGUGGAACUUUGUAAAGGCCUCGUAGUGUUGCCCUGCCGCGCUUCCUAGGUAGAGGUGUAUGGGAAGUCGCGAUCCCUUGGCAGAUGGGUAACAUGACUUGUGGGUAAAGGGUACAACCUCUGCAGAGUGUAAAACUGGUAUACUAGCCGAGCUCACGGUCAUGAGCGGCUCAGGACUCUUUGAUGUUUAAAUUAUGGAACUUAAAUUCAAUUUUGUCGUAUGCAUUGCAUGGGUUUGUUAUUAAUUUUGUUCUAUUACUUUACUUAAGGUUUGGUAUUUACUUACACUUAGUAAUUGCUAAUAAAAUUUGGACCAACUACUUAAAAGCAAUGCUCAGCUUUAACCCCUAUCAUUGAUUAGCCUUACACAUCACAUGAACUCACACAUUUGUGAGUUUAUGUCCACUGGUUCCCCACAACUUGUUGAGCUAUGAUCAUGUGUGAGCUCACCCUUGCUGUCUCACACCCCCCCCCCACAGGAGAAGAGCAGGUGGUUCAGGAGGAGCCACAAGGCGAGGAGUAUGAUCUGAUCUAGGUGGCGUUUCUCAGUUGACAUUGGCGCCGAUGAUCCUUAGUUCGUUUUAUAUUUAUCUUUUAUUUUGUAAUAAGUCUUCCGCUGUGUAAUAAAUACUCUGAUGUUAUUGACAUUUAUCUCUAUACACUCUGUUAUUAUAUAUGUUGUCUUCUUGGCGCAUGUAUGAGAUGCACCUGGCUUUAUUCCUUAAAGCCGGGUGUGACAUUGGCCCCGUUGCCUAUCUCAGCAUCGGGGGAAGUAAGUAUGGUCUUAUUAUAGUUGAUGAUUUUUCCCGCUUCACUUGGGUGUUCUUUUUGCAG